UACGUAGGGUGCAAGCAUUAUCCGGAGUGACUGGGCGUAAAGAGUUGCGUAGGUGGACAAGUAAGCGAAUAGUGAAAUCCGACGGCUCAACCGUACAGACUAUUACUCGAACUGCUUGUCUCGAGAAUGGUAGAGGUAACUGGAAUUUCUAGUGUAGGAGUGAAAUCCGUAGAUAUUAGAAGGAACACCAAUGGCGUAGGCAGGUUACUGGACCAUUUCUGACACUGAGGCACGAAAGCGUGGGGAGCGAACCGG
rnacentral:rRNA from 1 species